GUUUAAAUAAUUUAAUAAAAAUAUAGGUAUGUGGCACCUAAUUUAUGUGUACAAACACAUUUUAAACA
rnacentral:tRNA from 1 species